CUCCCCAGGGACCACCGAAACAGUCUCCACGACCACCGGUGUGACAGGUGCCCCCUCCACGGCGACCACCCAGAGGGUCACGACUCCCAGCACUGCGACAGGUGUCCCCUCCACCGCGACCAGCCAGAUUGUCACCACCCCCAGCACUGUGACAGGUGCCCCCUCCACGGCGACCACCCAGAGUGUCACGACUCCCACCACUGUGACAGGAGCCCCCUCCACCGCGACAAGACAGAGUGUCACCACCCCAAGCACUGCGACAGGUGCCCCCUCCACUGCGACCACCCAGAGGGUCACGACUCCCACCACUGCGACAGGUGCCCCCUCCACGGUGACCCCCCAAAGUGUCACGACUCCCACCACUGUGACAGGUGCCCCCUCCCCGGCGACCACCCAGAGGGUCACGACUCCCACCACUGUGACAGGUGCCCCCUCCACCGCGACCAGACAGAGUGUCACCACCCCCAGCACUGCGACAGGUGCCCCCUCCACUGCGACAACCCAGAGGGUCACGACUCCCAGCACUGCGACAGGUGUCCCCUCCACCGCGACCAGCCAGAUUGUCACCACCCCCAGCACUGUGACAGGUGCCCCCUCCACGGCGACCCCCCAAAGUGUCACGACUCCCACCACUGUGACAGGUGCCCCCUCCACGGCGACCACUCAGAGUGUCACGACUCCCAGCACUGUGACAGGUGCCCCCUCCCCAGGGACUACCGAGUCGAUCUCCACGCCCACCACUGUGACAGGUGUCCCCUCAACGGCGAUCCCCCAGAGUGUCACGACUCCCAGCACUGUGACAGGUGUCCCCUCCACGGCGACCACCCAGAGGGUCACGACUCCCACUACUGCGACAGGUGCCCCCUCCACUGAGACCACCCAGAGGGUCACGACUCCCACCACUGUGAUGGGUGCCCCCUCCACUGCGACCCCCCAGAGUGUCACCACCCCCACCACUGUGACAGGUCCCUCCUCUCCAGGGUCCACCGAGUCGGUCUCCACCCACACCACUGUGACAGGUCCCCCCUCCCCUGGUACCACACGGAGCGUCACCACCCCCAGCAGUGUGACCCGUCUCCUGUCAACUGGGACCACCCGGACAUUUGCUGUUCUCAUUCCCUCCACCUUCCCAGGGUCCCUGUCCACGACCCUCAAACCAGGCUUGCCCAGUGUAUCGCCCACUAGUUUGCUCUCGACCCCCUCCCUGCGGACCCGUCCUGCCUCCCCAGGCACUGUGCCCUCCUCUUCUCCGGAGACUGCCAGCAGCCUGACCCCCUUCUCGGUGCCCACCGUCUCCCCCGGAUCGCCUGGCCCCACCACGCCCUCCUGCCUCUGCCGCGCCUACGGAGAGUUCUUCCGACCCGGUGCGUGAGCAGCCUGGCCCCUCCUCCACACCCAGCCCCGACACUGGAUUCCGGCGGGCAGUGUCCCGGGGCCAGGGUCCUUGACCUGCGCUGGUUUGCCCUCCUGGCCCCCUGCCCCGCUGACCUGUGUGUCUCUGGCUUUGUAGGCGACGUCGUGUACAACAAGACCGACGGCGCGGGCUGCCAGUUCUUAGCUGUCUGCAACGAGCACUGUGACAUCGACCGCCUCCAGGGCACCUGCCCCACCUCCGCACCCCCCGAGUCCUCGCCCCCCGCUC
rnacentral:lncRNA from 1 species